GGGCCUACGGGGGGCAGCAGUGAGGAAUAUUGGUCAAUGGUCGGGAGACUGAACCAGCCAAGCCGCGUGAGGGAGGAAGGUACAGAGUAUCGUAAACCUCUUUUGUCAGGGAACAAAGGCGGGGACGUGUCCCCGGAUGAGUGUACCUGAAGAAAAAGCAUCGGCUAACUCCGUGCCAGCAGCCGCGGUAAUACGGAGGAUGCGAGCGUUAUCCGGAUUUAUUGGGUGUAAAGGGCGUGUAGGCGGGAGAGCAAGUCAGACGUGAAAUUCCAGGGCUCAACCCCGGGACUGCGUUUGAAACUGUU
rnacentral:rRNA from 1 species